rnacentral:rRNA from 1 species
AACGUAGGAGACAAACGUUAUCCGGAGUUACUGGGACGUAAAGGGCGUGUAGGUGGUAUCGUAAGUCUGGCGUGAAAUUUCUCGGCUUAACCGAGGCAGGUCGUCGGAUACUGCGAGGCUAGAGGACGGUAGAGGCGUGUGGAAUUCCGGGUGUAGUGGUGAAAAUGCGCAGAUAUCAGGAGGAACACCUAUUGCGAAGGCAGCUCGCUGGGACGUAACUGACGCUGAGACGCGAAAGCGUGGGAGCAAACAGG